rnacentral:antisense_RNA from 1 species
CUUGACCGAGCCGAGCCACAGCGGCUCGGGACGCUCCUGGCCGUAGGUGGCCAGCAACGCCUGCGCCUC